rnacentral:lncRNA from 1 species
AUUCUCUUUCUAAGUUCAGUCUUUGUGACUAGUCACACUGUCACUGCCUACAACAUUCCUUGUUUUAAUUAUUUCUGCAUAGUGCAUCAUUUUUAUUGUUAAUGGACCUUUAUUUUAUGUAUUAAUUUAUUUAUAUUGUAGGACCUCAAGACCCAGGCCCAGCAUUAGGUGACCAAACCCCUAGGCCUCAAAGCUGCAAGACGCUUCCUCACCCAACCCCCAUGUCAAAACCCCUCCAGCAGCACGUAGCACCUCAGGUGUUGCACAAUGUUACCACAAGAUGUUCCAUGUAGAUAACCCUAGCGGGCCCCCUACCACAAGAUGUUCCUCUUAGACAGCCCUACUGGUUAAACUUGAGAACUAGGUUUAAAAACAGAAACUGAAAAAACAGGAUGUAAUUUUAGGGUUUUUCCGAGAGCAUAAAGUGAAAAAACAAGUUUACCCCCUAGGUGACCCAGUGGCUGGAUUCAGAGGAACCAAUAGAAAGGCUGUUGCUGUGCUAAGCUAAGAACUAACCCGCUUGUUUCCUAUAAAAAAAAUCUGUACCCCAAAGCCCGGUGUGCCAGUUCACCGAAGCUCCGGCUGAGGUUUUGCUGUGCACCCGCAGGCACCUGUGUGAGAAUAAACGCCUCCUGCUUUUUGCAGCCAGUGUCUCGUGUGGUUCAUUCUGGGUUUGGGAUCUGUGGAUCUUUCAAUAUGUGGUGCUGAGAAUUGAACCCAGUGUCUCACACAUGCUAGCCAAGUGCUUUACCAUUGAGCCACAACACUAGCCCUCCACAGUGCAUCUUAAAGCAUAAUCAUAUACAUUCUUGACAUUUCCUCGGUCUAUCUUUAUAUCUAUCCAGUCAAAACAACAACAACAACAACAACAACAACAAAAUACAUUACUUCCAGAAGAAUUAGGUUUUAUAACAAAGAUGCAAAGAAAGCAAAACUUCAGCGCUUGAAUUCUAAAUUAGUUUCCCGAUACUGAUAGAUAUGAAAUUUAAAUUUUGGGAAAAGAUAUAAUUUAAAGACAUUGAUAAAAAAAAAAAAAAACAAUACCU